ensembl:sense_overlapping
AGCCUCUUCCCAGACAGGCAGAUAGGAACUUCCAGGAUGCUGGCAGCCCGCACAGGCGCUGCAGGGAGUCAGAUCUCCGAAGACAACAGCAAGUUCAGAAAGCAGUCUGGCCUUUCUUCAGGGGGGAAAGACAGAUCUCCCAAGAAAGCCCCCGAGAAUGCCAAAGACAGCAGCCUCAGCCCAACCGGGCAAAGCCAGCUCAGGGCAAGGCAGCUGGCCCUGCUGCGGGAGGUGGAGAUGAACUGGUACCUAAAGCUCUGCGAGCUGUCCAGCGAGCACACCACGGCACACACCACCGGGAUGCCGCACAGCCUCUCCCAGAUUGAUUUUGAUGCUUCACUGAGCAGUUGCCCUUCUCAAGCCUUCAAGCCAAGGCACUUUUAUCAUCUCCACGUUCUAAACCUUGUUGGAUUGCUCAGACACCAUCACCAGACAGUAGUAACUCACAGCAAAACACAAUCCGUACGGCAGAGAUGGAAGCCAGAUUCUGCGCACAGAAAGAGGCAGUGCAGAUUAUGUCUACGAGCAAGGUUAAUGGGUCGUAUUUCAGUCUGGACUCUGACGGAGGAGCAGAAGUUCAGUGGCAAAGGGAAGGAAUGAUUAUUUCAACAAAGAGAACAGCAAGAACAAAAAAGGAACGCAGAUAUGGUGAGAGUGGUGAAGCCAGUGAGGCAGACAGUCAUGUGACAGGAGACAAGGCUCCAGGCACUCCAUUUGUCAAGUGACUCAGCUUUCUAAGCUUCUGCCAUUUCAUGUGAAAUAGUGGUAAUAUUUUCUACCUCUAAAGACAUCUUAGUUAAAGGAGAUGUUGCAUACUAUGUGAAUAAGACAACACCUGUACAUGAAAGCCAUAAAUAAAUAAAAAGACGGACUGUACAUGAAAGCCAUAAAUAAAUAAAAAGACGGACCUCAUGAUACAGGUAAAGGGGGUGGUAAAGGGGAAGGAGCACACAUUUUGUUCAUGUUUGUUUUAGCUGUUUACAUUAAAAUAUGUUCUUAAAAAGAAACUACUAGGCCUAAUCAGAAUUGGAAAGAAAGAAAAGAGAUGAGGGUCUCCAAACUAAGCCACACCACAUGGGAUUUUGAAGUCUCUAUAGAGACCUCCAAGGAGACUUCAUGAAAGGCAGCAACAGUCACCCAGAGGCCAAGGUUCAAUUAUUACAUAAUAAGACAUUACUUUCUAGUUGUCCUGAAGGUUUUAUCCCUUAAGUCCAUCCAAUGCCUCUAUUUCCUGCCACCCUUUGCUAGUCUCAUCUUCUCUCUGUCUUCCUUGAUGGUUGCUCCCUCUUCUCCAGCUCUUCAUUCUCCUGUGGGACGUGGGACAUUCUACUAGCCCAGCCCUAGUCUCUUCUCUGCACCCUUUAGCAUUUUGUUCCCCCCCCAGCUCAAUACUUUCUAGCUGUUAUUUCAGCCUAUUCUAUUUUUCAAUCCAUGAGAUAGUUUUUCUUAACAUGCAUAUCCCUCGAUGGUAGAGCAGAGGACAUGUUCCAUCUCAAUGAAUGUCUGUGACUAGACUGUAAUGGCCACUAGUAACAGUGCUAAGGUCUUAUCUAUUGCCCUUAUUUUCUUACCAGGGAGGAUUGAGGACAGUUUUCAAAAUAAAUAGCAAGAUAUGGUUAAGGAACUUGUGAUUAAGUGUUCAUCUGCACAAAUUAAAAAUGGUUGCCACAGCAGCACCUGGAAGACAUUGAAGCCAGAGGCAUUUUCUUAUUCUUAACCCCUCUUCUCCACAGCUGAAGAGGCUCUAUUGCUUAGGGUGAAAAUACCCACCUAUAAAUCAAAUGGCCAAAGUGAAAGACUGACUCUAGACUCCUCAGUCUCUAUUCUGCAAAGUCAAUAGGCCUUGGAAUCAUUAGUUAGAUGCUCAUGAAUCAACCCACCCUGCCCACUUCAAACAGAAGUAAUGAAUAUGGUAGGUUUUAAGGAGACAGUACUAUACAAAUAUACAAUUUUUAAGAGAUUGAAUUUGGCUUACACUAAGGAAGAAACAAACUAGAAAUAAACACUCUAUUUUUAUUAGCUUUACUACCUCUCCAAGAAUCUUCUAGAAGAAAGCUAAAUGUCACUGAAGAAACUAGAAUAAGACAUGUUGUUUUUGCCAUGUACUAAAAUAUGCCCCUAAGGGUGCAGUCUAUUUUCAAAGGUAGGUUCCAGAACUGGCAGAGGAAGUUGAGC